rnacentral:rRNA from 1 species
CAGUAGCCGCGGUAACACGGAGGGUGCAAGCGUUAUCCGGAUUUAUUGGGUUUAAAGGGUCCGUAGGCGGAUCUGUAAGUCAGUGGUGAAAUCUCACAGCUUAACUGUGAAACUGCCAUUGAUACUGCAGGUCUUGAGUAAAUUUGAAGUGGCUGGAAUAAGUAGUGUAGCGGUGAAAUGCAUAGAUAUUACUUAGAACACCAAUUGCGAAGGCAGGUCACUAAGAUUUAACUGACGCUGAUGGACGAAAGCGUGGGGAGCGAACAGGAUUAGAUACCCAGUAGUCCCUGUCUCUUAUACA